ensembl:lncRNA
GAAAUGAAGGCCUUUUGGAAAAAUUUGGGAAGUUCCUAUGUUCUCAGCAAGGUUUUAAUAGAAAAGAGCUUGUGCUGGAAGAAAUUAUUUUGGGCAGGAGUAGCCAUCUGGUUGGGUUUUUAAAGGAUUUUACAAGAGAAAAACACGAGCCAUGUCCAGGAAGGAGCUACUCGAUGCACGAAAAGCUUUGAGGAGCUUUAGGGAAGGUGUGAGUGGGCCGAGAAGCAAGAAACAAAGAGACUCUGAGACCACAGAGGAUGAGACCACAGAACCUCAGAUGGAAACCAAAGAAGGGCCCGGGAGGCACCAUGAUAAGGCUGGCCGGAAAGGACCUUCAGGUAUUUUAUUUAAACUCCUUUUUUUUCCUUUUUUUUUAAGCUUAUGUAAGUUUGUGGUUUCGAGGCUUCGUUUUUCUUUUUUGAGGUCAUAUUUUCUAGCUGCAAGCUUGCACUACUUAAAGAAAAUAUUCUGCAGCUCUUUGUCCAAAAUGAUAUUUAGCCAGAUUUACAGCUCCACCACCAACAUCUCUGCCAAAAACACACUUGUAUAAAGUUAUGAUAGAUAGAUUUAAUGGAGGCUGUUAUCAU